GGCUCAGAUUGAACGCUGGCGGCAGGCCUAACACAUGCAAGUCGAGCGGAUGACAGGAGCUUGCUCCUGAAUUCAGCGGCGGACGGGUGAGUAAUGCCUAGGAAUCUGCCUGGUAGUGGGGGACAACGUUUCGAAAGGAACGCUAAUACCGCAUACGUCCUACGGGAGAAAGCAGGGGACCUUCGGGCCUUGCGCUAUCAGAUGAGCCUAGGUCGGAUUAGCUAGUUGGUGAGGUAAUGGCUCACCAAGGCGACGAUCCGUAACUGGUCUGAGAGGAUGAUCAGUCACACUGGAACUGAGACACGGUCCAGACUCCUACGGGAGGCAGCAGUGGGGAAUAUUGGACAAUGGGCGAAAGCCUGAUCCAGCCAUGCCGCGUGUGUGAAGAAGGUCUUCGGAUUGUAAAGCACUUUAAGUUGGGAGGAAGGGCAUUAACCUAAUACGUUAGUGUUUUGACGUUACCGACAGAAUAAGCACCGGCUAACUCUGUGC
rnacentral:rRNA from 1 species